rnacentral:rRNA from 1 species
UGGGGAAUAUUGGACAAUGGGGGCAACCCUGAUCCAGCAAUGCCGCGUGUGUGAAGAAGGCCUGCGGGUUGUAAAGCACUUUUAUGACAGAAGAAGUUGCCCAGGUUAAGAGCUAGGGUAAUUGACGGUAUGUCCUGAAUAAGCACCGGCUAACUCAGUGCCAGCAGCCGCGGUAAUACUGAGGGUGCAAGCGUUAAUCGGAAUUACUGGGCGUAAAGGGUACGCAGGCGGCUUUUUAAGUCGGAUGUGAAAUCCCCGGGCUUAACCUGGGAAUGGCAUUCGAUACUGGAAGGCUUGAAUCUGGCAGAGGCUAGCGGAAUUCCUGGUGUAGCGGUGAAAUGCGUAGAUAUCAGGAGGAACAUCAGUGGCGAAGGCGGCUAGCUGGGUCAAGAUUGACGCUCAUGUACGAAAGCGUGGGGAGCAAACAGGAUUAGAUACCCCCGUAGUCC